rnacentral:tRNA from 1 species
UUAGCUCAGUCGGCAGAGCAUCAGACUUUUAGUCUGAGGGUCGGGGGUUCCUACCUCUCA